CACCGGCGGCUCGAGUGGUAACCGUUAUUAUUGGGUCUAAAGGGUCUUUAGCCGGCCGGAUAAGUCUCUUGAGAAAUCUGGCAGCUUAACUGUCAGGCUUUCAGGAGAUACUGUCUGGCUCGAGGCCGGGAGAGGUGAGAGGUACUUCAGGGGUAGGGGUGAAAUCUUGUAAUCCUUGAAGGACCACCAGUGGCGAAGGCGUCUCACCAGAACGGACCUGACGGCAAGGGACGAAAGCUAGGGGCACGAACCGG
rnacentral:rRNA from 1 species